AUAUGCUUACAACAUAGUGUUAAUGCAUCAGAUUCCAUUAAAACUUCACAGUUAAGCGUGCUCGGGCUAGAGUAGUACUGGGAUGGGUGACUGCUCGAGAAGUCCUAGUGUUUUACAUGCC
rnacentral:rRNA from 1 species